rnacentral:rRNA from 1 species
GUGGCGAGUGGCGAACGGGUGAGUAAUAUAUCGGAACGUGCCCAGUCGUGGGGGAUAACGCAGCGAAAGCUGUGCUUAAUACCGCAUACGAUCUACGGAUGAAAGCGGGGGAUCGCAAGACCUCGCGCGAUUGGAGCGGCCGAUAUCAGAUUAGCUAGUUGGUGAGGUAAAGGCUCACCAAGGCGACGAUCUGUAGCUGGUCUGAGAGGACGACCAGCCACACUGGAACUGAGACCCGGUCCAGACUCCUACGGGAGGCAGCAGUGGGGAAUUUUGGACAAUGGGCGCAAGCCUGAUCCAGCAAUGCCGCGUGCAGGAUGAAGGCCUUCGGGUUGUAAACUGCUUUUGUACGGAGCGAAAAGACACAUACUAAUACAGGGGGCUCAUGACGGUACCG